rnacentral:rRNA from 1 species
UACAGAGGUCUCAAGCGUUGUUCGGAUUCAUUGGGCGUAAAGGGUGCGUAGGUGGCAUGGUAAGUCGGAUGUGAAAUCCCGGGGCUCAACCCCGAAACUGCAUUCGAUACUGCCGUGCUUGAGGACUGGAGAGGAGACUGGAAUUUACGGUGUAGCGGUGAAAUGCGUAGAUAUCGUAAGGAAGACCAGUGGCGAAGGCGGGUCUCUGGACAGUCCUGACGCUGAGGCACGAAGGCCAGGGAGCAAACGGG